GACGAACGCUGGCGGCGUGCUUAACACAUGCAAGUCGAACGCUGAAGACCUGGCUUUUGUUGGGUUGGAUGAGUGGCGAACGGGUGAGUAACACGUGAGUAACCUGCCCUCUUCUUUGGGAUAACGCCCGGAAACGGGUGCUAAUACUGGAUAUUCACUGAUCUUCGCAUGGGGGUUGGUGGAAAGGUUUGUUCUGGCGGGGGAUGGGCUCGCGGCCUAUCAGCUUGUUGGUGGGGUGAUGGCCUACCAAGGCUUUGACGGGUAGCCGGCCUGAGAGGGUGACCGGUCACAUUGGGACUGAGAUACGGCCCAGACUCCUACGGGAGGCAGCAGUGGGGAAGAUUGCACAAUGGGCGAAAGCCUGAUGCAGCGACGCCGCGUGAGGGAUGGAGGCCUUCGGGGUGUAAACCUCUUUCGCUCAUGGUCAAGCCGCAACUGUGGGUUGUGGUGAGGGUAGUGGGUAAAGAAGCGCCGGCUAACUACGUG
rnacentral:rRNA from 1 species